rnacentral:rRNA from 1 species
UGGGGAAUAUUGCACAAUGGGCGCAAGCCUGAUGCAGCAACGCCGCGUGAACGAUGAAGGUCUUCGGAUCGUAAAGUUCUGUUGCAGGGGAAGAUAAUGACGGUACCCUGUGAGGAAGCCCCGGCUAACUACGUGCCAGCAGCCGCGGUAAUACGUAGUGGUCUAGCGUUAUCCGGAUUUACUGGGCGUAAAUGGUGCGUAGGUGGUCCUUCAAGUCGGUGGUUAAAGGCUACGGCACAACCGUAGUAAGCCGCCGAAACUGGAGGACUUGAGUGCAGGAGAGGAAAGUGGAAUUCCCAGUGUAGCGGUGAAAUGCGUAGAUAUUGGGAGGAACACCAGUAGCGAAGGCGGCUUUCUGGACUGCAACUGACACUGAGGCACGAAAGCGUGGGUAGCAAACAGG